rnacentral:miRNA from 1 species
CAAACCGCCAAGCAGGCGAACU